ensembl:lncRNA
AGAGAGAGAGAGAGAGAAAUCGAGUGAGACAUAAAUCGAGUGAAACAUGAAGCGAUCGUACGAAAGCGGGUCACAUAAAAAGAAAGACCAAAGGCAGGACUUUCUUUCAAAGCUGCCAAAGCUAUCAAGCUGUUUUACAGCCACCGCAGUGGCAGCGGGACUGUCGGCGGAUCAAGAGCAGCCGUCAACGUCGUUUGCUGUCACGUUACUGCUCCUUUCAUUCCAAGUGGCUCUGGCUCAGCCAGCAGCGAUGCUAAUGACGUGUGUCAACAAACUGACGGAGAUGAUGCACAACUUAUCAUUGGCCGGGUCUUCCUUCUCCCGUAUCGACCCCAGUUGUAGGGCGUGCGAGUGUUUUCCUCCUCUACCUGUUGCAGCGGGGAGCGAUCAGCUGAUUGAUCGAGUUGCACUUGUAAUUGUGCUGUUCGGUACAAGUGAUCCCCUUCCUCCCCUUUGAUGUUCAUUCAACUCCUGACGGGUUGACGUGUGUGUGUGGGCGGUAUCUGCCAGCUCGUUCCCCCCCCUCUUCACGCUGCUGUUGGCCGGCUGCUGUUUUGUCCACUGGUUUAUAUAGCCAACACAUCCAUCCUACUCUGCAUCUCCUACUGUGCGGUACCUGCCACCGAGUAUGACACAGUGAGAAAGAUCCCUCAUCCUCACCCCUGCAAUAUCGAUUGUGGAGGUAGUCAUGAACAUUUAAAAACCUCUGUGACAAAGACCACUUUGCCAGUCCGCACCAUGGUCCCAGAAUGCCAGCCCCAUCCUCACCCCUGCAUCUCACCCAUCAACCUCCGCCUGCUACCCACCCGAUGUAAAUGUUGUUUGGAUGUUUGAUACCUACUUUGCCUUUUUUUUUUCAGUUUCAUUUAGUCUUUUAACAAUUUUGGACCAGAGCCGUUCAUGUGCAUACAUGCAGUGGGCUUGCCGCAGGCUUGGAGAAAAUUAUUUCAAUAAUCAAGUCAUUGAAAAUGUAAAUGCAGGGCUAAACUGGGAACAGGUACAAAUAGGUUUAUAUAGUGUAGCUAUGUGUCUGUAUUAAGGUACCUUGAAAGGCCUCAUAGGUUUCUCCCCCGAUGGUGGAGGAUUCACAUGGAGUAACUGCAGAGCAAAUGCAAAGAACAAUAAGUGAUGUAGGCUAGGUAGCCUAGCUCUGAAUAAUUGCCAACAAACUAGUUUGACCAACUAACAAACUAUUACUAUUAUGUGGUUAGAUUCCAGCAGCUGAUACACCAGCCAUGCCUUCAUCAUCGACCCUGACAGGUGUGAUGAUAGGUGGUGAAGGGACUGCAAAACAACAAAAAGAAACAGUUGGCAAACAGAAUUAACAACUUCUUUGUUUUUCAACCAUAGCUACUAUUGCAAAUACUUACACGCAGGCCUUCUUGGCAACACUCCAGGUUUUAUUGUUCC